UGAAGUUGUGGGCUUGAAGGAUAAAAAUAAGAUGAAAUUUACGAAAGGCUUCCUAAGGUGACGGGGUGUGAUACAUUGUUCUGAUAAAAAUAUAAACAGUCACUUGUAACGGAGUAGCCUAUUUCCGUAGACCAUCGCUGCUGUCCACAACUUCCACCGCAUAAUCUCACAAGUAAACACCUGAAUCUCGCGAUGGUUGGCUUCUUAGCCAACAAGGGCAUACGAGAUGUUGGAAUGGGAUGAUGUGCUCCACGGUGGAGGAGAGGCCGAGCUGAAACCGUUAAAACUGAAAACGGGAGGACAAGGCGGUAGGGUGCGUGUGUGAGUGCACGCGCGCAUGAGCGAAAGGGGGUUGCCGUUUCUCCUGGUGACGUCACGAGCUUUCCUGAAAGUCAAACCAACCGUUGGCUGCGGUACCGUCUCGGAAACCCGUUUGAUGCCAUAAACGAUUAUUUCUGCUCCGACUGGUAAAUUAACGUUGACAGCGACGGGUGACGAGCAGCACUUCACGGUUUAGUUUGCAGUCCCGCGUAGCUUAACGUUGUUCACCCCGAGGAGAAGGCGGGGGGAACAACAACAACAACAAAAAAAAAAACAACUAAUCUCUAGCGGUUUAUGAACAGCAGGUGCACGGGAAUAUCACCACACCUGCCGCUACAGGCUGACUCAUUGCUGGUGAGGCGGAAGGUCUGGAGCGGGCAAGAGAGAGGUGGAGGAGGAGGGGGAAGAAAAAGAAGACGGGAGCGAGGCAGAGAGAUAAGCCACAACAGGAAGCAAAACGACACACGUACACAUACCGCAUUUGUGUGCGUGUGUGUGUCUGAGAGAGAGACUGCUCGAACAAGAGGGUGAACGAGAGAGGAAGGGAGGGAGAGUGACGCGGAGGCUGGGAGAGCCGGCCACCCCCCUCCUCCUCCUCUCCCUCUCUUUCUCUUCUCUCCUCCUCUCCUCCCCUCCUCCCUCUCUCUCUCUGUGGAGCAGGCGUGUAGCGGCAUCAGACUCGGCGUGAAGGAACCAUGAGCGAUGUCACCAUCGUUAGAGAGGGAUGGCUCCAGAAACGGGGUGAAUACAUAAAGAACUGGCGACCACGUUACUUCCUUUUGAAGACAGACGGCUCUUUCAUUGGCUACAAAGAGAAACCUCAGGAUGCAGACCUGCCCUACCCACUAAAUAACUUCUCUGUAGCAAAAUGUCAGCUGAUGAAGACGGAGCGGCCAAAGCCAAACACCUUCAUUAUACGCUGCCUCCAGUGGACCACCGUCAUCGAGCGGACCUUCCAUGUGGACUCGCCUGAUGAGAGAGAUGAGUGGACAGAGGCCAUCCAGAUGGUGGCUGACAAGCUGCAGAGACAAGAGGAGGAACGGAUCCAGUGCAGCCCCACCUCCAACAUCGACAACAUGGUCGAGGAGGAGAUGGACAUCUCCACCACACACCACAAACGCAAGACAAUGAGUGACUUCGACUACCUGAAGCUGCUGGGAAAAGGAACCUUUGGCAAAGUGAUUCUUGUCCGAGAAAAGGCCAGCGGAAAAUAUUACGCCAUGAAAAUCCUUAAAAAAGAAGUUAUCAUAGCCAAGGAUGAGGUGGCCCACACACUCACAGAGAGCAGAGUACUGAAAAACACCAGACACCCCUUUCUCACUUCAUUGAAGUAUUCAUUCCAGACUAAAGACCGCCUUUGUUUUGUCAUGGAGUAUGUGAAUGGGGGAGAGCUGUUUUUCCAUUUGUCCAGAGAGCGGGUGUUCUCAGAGGAGCGCACGCGCUUCUACGGCGCAGAAAUUGUUUCAGCUCUCGACUACCUGCAUUCAGCCAAGAUUGUGUAUCGGGACCUGAAGUUGGAAAACUUGAUGCUGGAUAAAGAUGGCCAUAUCAAGAUCACUGAUUUCGGCCUUUGCAAGGAGGGCAUCACAGAUGCUGCUACCAUGAAGACCUUCUGUGGCACUCCAGAGUACCUCGCACCUGAGGUCCUGGAGGACAAUGACUAUGGUCGGGCGGUAGACUGGUGGGGUUUGGGUGUGGUGAUGUAUGAGAUGAUGUGUGGCCGGCUGCCAUUCUACAACCAGGACCACGAGAAGCUGUUUGAGCUCAUCCUCAUGGAGGACAUCAAGUUCCCGCGCACUCUGUCAGCUGACGCCAAGUCCCUGCUGUCCAGCCUGCUCAUUAAAGACCCCAACAAACGGCUUGGUGGAGGACCAGAUGAUGCUAAAGAAAUAAUGAGACACAGCUUCUUCUCCGGUGUUGACUGGCAGGAUGUGUAUGAUAAAAAGCUGGUUCCUCCCUUCAAGCCUCAGGUGACAUCGGAGACGGACACCAGAUAUUUUGACGAGGAGUUCACAGCCCAGACCAUCACAAUUACUCCGCCAGAGAAAUUUGAUGAGGACGGGAUGGACUGUCUGGACAAUGAGAGAAGACCGCACUUCCCACAGUUCUCCUACUCUGCCAGUGGGCGAGAGUGAACUGUCCAUCAUGGUGACAUCAUCACAGCUGGUCUCUGAGGUCAUCAGCGUGGGACAAAGAGACCCACAGCUUUGGACUGACCCAGAACAACCCUGACUUGAAGGAUUUUGCCCUUCUAAUGUCCUCUUCCUCUCUUUUUCACCUCUUUGGUCCGCUUCUCUUUUUUCUUCCCUUUUGUAGACAGAACUUACAAAAUUACCCUCUAACCCUGCACUGCAGCCCUAGGUGAUCCGAACUGUGAUGUGAUCAUUUACUGUGUAAUGUCCCUUUAAUGACAGGAGCAUCACCAAUGGCCUGCUGUGCUUUGACAUGUCGGUCCUGCCAAACUCAAAAAAAGAAACACCUCUGAUCUGGUUAAACAACAGCUGAUGUAUUUUUUAAAGAGAUGUUUUUGUGGCUUCUUGUCUGUAUGAAGGAGAUACAGCAUUUUAAGUGAUUCAAACCCAAACGUCUGUUACUGGUUGUAUCUCAGGGUUUUGACAGAUACUCCGAUGCAGAGACACUCGUGUCUGACUUCAAAUCCUCACAGAGUCUUUCUGGGAUUGAUUGAGGCUCCCCUGGCAUUGAGGAAACAGUUGUCAUCAGUGAGCUGAAUGCUACACACCUCGUCAUCGAGCAGGAUUUGACUCAGGUUUGCUUAGUGCAAUUCAUCAUUGUUGUUGCUGCUAUUUCAACUAUCACAACUACUACAGGUACUACUGCUCUUACUGCUACUAUAAUAUUACUGCUACUAUUAAAACCCGGUGCUACACUACUAGCUUAAUGCUGCAGGUCAUAUACAGGCGCCAGCAACAUCAACCAACUUUGUUAACGUCUGUGCUUGUACAGCUGCGGAACAGGUGUUGCUGCUGAUGUACAGCUACUGCGCAUCAAUUCUGUAGAUCAAUGAUGGUGAUAGGAUGGCGUGUGUGUGUGAGAGAGAGUGUGUGUGGUACUAUUAUUGGUUUGUGUUUAAGAUCACAUGUCAAAGCACAGCAGUUCAGAAGGCUGAAGCUCCCAAACCAUGAGCUUUACUACGUUACCCACAAUGCAGUGCAAGAUGGUUUCUCUGUCCAUUGCUGCAGAGGUGAAAAUGAGAGGAUAAUGGUUGGUUUGAAUGUUGCGCGCACCCAACCCUCCACCCCCAAAAUCUUUUUUAUUUAAUUUCUCCACUGAGUUUCAGUGUCUUCAGUCCCAAAAGGGAAAACAAAACCGAAUCGGUACUUUGUGUUGACGAAGGAAAGCUUUACUGUGACAUAUUGUUAUCAUGGCUUUGGGAACCACACGACUGUACCUCUAUGUGUUUGUGCAGGAAAGGGAAAUUGCAGCAGGAUUCACCAUAGAGUGAAAAGAUAAGUCCAGGAUCGAAGGCUAGGCAUGGUGAAGGGAGGAGAGAGUACAGGUGUGUGCUGGUGAAAGCUGAGGCGGAGUUCAGACAGACAGAGGGAGAGAGAGAGAGAGACAAAGUGGAUGUUGAGCAGAAAGAAAACAAGUGCAGCACAGAAGUUUGACUGUAAAGAGGAAGAUCUAGUGCCAAACUACAUACAAGUGCUACUGUUUACUGUAAGUGUGUUGAGAUAGAGUAGAGAAGAAAGUCAGAUGAGAGGAAUAAGAGUGUUUGGAUACGAGUUUGUAAGGUCAGUCGGCGUUUUCCUGUCAGUUUAGAGAGUGGGAAUGCUCAGUCAGCUCCCAACCACCGAAUAAUCCCUGCAGUCUACUCUGUCUUUAAUGUAAUGCCGUCACUUCUUUGGUCUGGACUUUGUGGUCGUUGUUACGUCUUCCAGUCUGACCAACGAGAUUUAAAAUCCCCUCUAUGUCUUCAAACGCCAGGUAAGCCUUAUGGUUCAGCUCAGAAAAAGUCAACAAAAAACAAAAACUUGACAUCA